GGAUAGCUCAGUCGGUAGAGCAUGAGGCUUUUAAUCUCAGGGUCAUGAGUUUAAGCUUAAUGUUGGGCA